UCAGGCCUAACACAUGCAAGUCGAGCGGAAACGAGUUAUCUGAACCUUCGGGGAACGAUAACGGCGUCGAGCGGCGGACGGGUGAGUAAUGCCUAGGAAAUUGCCCUGAUGUGGGGGAUAACCAUUGGAAACGAUGGCUAAUACCGCAUAAUGCCUACGGGCCAAAGAGGGGGACCUUCGGGCCUCUCGCGUCAGGAUAUGCCUAGGUGGGAUUAGCUAGUUGGUGAGGUAAUGGCUCACCAAGGCUACGAUCCCUAGCUGGUCUGAGAGGAUGAUCAGCCACACUGGAACUGAGACACGGUCCAGACUCCUACGGGAGGCAGCAGUGGGGAAUAUUGCACAAUGGGCGCAAGCCUGAUGCAGCCAUGCCGCGUGUGUGAAGAAGGCCUUCGGGUUGUAAAGCACUUUCAGUCGUGAGGAAGGUAGUGUAGUUAAUAGCUGCAUUAUUUGACGUUAGCGACAGAAGAAGCACCGGCUAACUCCGUGCCAGCAGCCGCGGUAAUACGGAGGGUGCGAGCGUUAAUCGGAAUUACUGGGCGUAAAGCGCAUGCAGGUGGUUUGUUAAGUCAGAUGUGAAAGCCCGGGGCUCAACCUCGGAAUAGCAUUUGAAACUGGCAGACUAGAGUACUGUAGAGGGGGGUAGAAUUUCA
rnacentral:rRNA from 1 species